rnacentral:sRNA from 1 species
CCCUAGCCCUGAUGGGAGGGAAAAUCCUUUUGUGCCGGGGUUCGGCGCAAAAGAUUGGAAGGACAGCAGGAAAUAGC